GGCUUCAUGGUGUAGUGGUCAGCGCACACGUCUGGCAAACGGGAGACACAGGUUCAAAUCAUGCCGGUGUUG
rnacentral:tRNA from 1 species